UCAUUGUAAAGAUAACUAUAAAAGUGUGAAAUUUCCCCUUUUUUCUGUUUUUCAUACAAUGUGAUCAAAGGACAUAAGUGCCCGUAGUCUAAGAAUCACCCACAUAUUGGUAGACCUCUUCUCUUCUUGAGGUCCUGAUACCAGUUAACUGGCCACAAGCAAGUUUUCAGUUCCUUUGCAGGUUUCUGGAGUAUGGGGAAGUGGAACGUGCAGUCUAGAGAGUGAAAAACCUACAGAAAAAGGAGGAAGAUCAUUCCCUAGCAGAGCCACACCUCUCCAAAGCGGGUACAGUCCAUUUCAACUUAUGGGGCGGCAUCUUCAUACCACCCUACUAACUCUACCCUCCCUGCAGGACAGCAAUACUUCUGUACCAACGAAAUGGAGCAAAGGAUGCCAGAUGCUGCAGACUAUAACAGGUGUCAUUGUACCAAAAGCCUUGGUGCCCUGUCACCGUGGAGACCCUGUAUGGGUAAUGGAUGAAAAGACACCUAGGACUGUUCUCCAAAAUUUCUUCCUCAGAGGGAGUUUUUCCUUACCACUGUUGCUCUGGGGGUUGGUAAGGUUAGACCUUACCUGUGUGAAACGCCUUGAGGCAACUCUGUUGUGAUUUGGCACUAUAUAAAUGAAAAUAAAUUGAAAUUGAAAAUACCUCCACUCCGAGGUCCUACAAACAUGUGCACCAAAGAGAGUCUGCAACACUGCCUCAAACACCUGGGCCAACUUCAGAGCAGGGUCCCAUGUCACCUGGUGAAGUACCCCUGUCACACCUGCAGUCAUCCACAAGGACUAGGUCUUGGAGAGCCAUUGUUAAGCGGACUCUACUUGUGAACUUAAAAACAAACAAACACAAAACAGCCAUCUUGAGUGUAAAGAAAUGUUAUGAGGAUUAUGCAGAUACGGUCCCAGAAAAAAGGUUACUUUGUAUUUAUGGUGUGUAUUUUUGAGGACUAUCAGUUAAUGUAGGAAUUUAUUAAAUACUUUGGUUGUGGGUUGCUUGUUCUGGCUGAUUAAUUUCUGCGCCUUCUCUCUUUUUUUAAGGUGCUAUUGAUCUUCAGUGACGGUUGAACUACUUGGUGGUUCCCUACCUGACCAUUUGAUGGUUGGAUGAAGAUUUAACACUUGUUAAUUCCCCACUCGUGAGGAACUGUGGGUCAUGCCACCCACUGGGCUCUAUCUCUCAGGGAUGUCCAAUGUGGACAUUCAUUUUUGUCUGCAUGUUUGACAGUUCUUUGUUGUAUACUAUUCACCUGAUUCUUGUUAUAGUAACAAGGUGAAGUCCACAUUGGAAAGAUGUUACUUCUAACUUGGCUAGUAAGGAAUUCCCAUUUGGCUGACCGGGUAGAGCCUUGGCUGCAAGUACGAUCGAGCUGGUGUUUCAACCCCACUGUGGCCAUAAAGAUAGGUCAUCCAGUCACAUUAUUGUUCAUUUGGCCUAAGCAGCUGUUCAACCCUCUUGAGUCUGGUCUGCUUGAGAUUUCUUCCUGAAAAACUCCCUAGGGAGUUUUUCCUUACCACUGU